rnacentral:rRNA from 1 species
CUUUCCUUGAUGACGACUGGCGCACGGGUGAGUAACGCGUAUCCAACCUUCCCAUAACUACGGGAUAACCCGUUGAAAGACGGCCUAAUACCGUAUGACAUCGUUUGCUGACAUCAAAUAACGAUUAAAGGUUUAGCGGUUAUGGAUGGGGAUGCGUCUGAUUAGCUUGUUGGCGGGGUAACGGCCCACCAAGGCGACGAUCAGUAGGGGUUCUGAGAGGAAGGUCCCCCCACAUUGGAACUGAGACACGGUCCAAACUCCUACGGGAGGCAGCAGGC